rnacentral:rRNA from 1 species
GACGAACGCUGGCGGCGUGCUUAACACAUGCAAGUCGAGCGGAAAGGCCCUUCGGGGUACUCGAGCGGCGAACGGGUGAGUAACACGUGAGCAACCUGCCCUGGACUUUGGGAUAACCCUCGGAAACGGGGGCUAAUACCGAAUAUUACUUCUGGUCGCAUGACUGGUGGUGGAAAGUUUUUACGGUCUGGGGAGUGGACGUCGCGGUCUAUCAGCUUGUUGGUGGGGUGGAUGGCCUACCAAGGCGACGACGGAUAGCCGGCCUGAGAGGGU